AUCAGAGGACAGUUUACUGACACCUGACUUUCAUUAACAUGUUUUGGUACUCUUUGAAGUUUUGAAAAAAAAAAAACUGAGCCACGUUGUGAAGUCUACUGUUUCAGAACAAAUCUCAUUCUCUCCCUCUUUUUCUCUCUAACUCGCUCCCUCUCUCUCUCAUUGUCUCUCUCUGUUUUGCUUCGCCUCUCUCUCCUUCCCUGUUUUUCUUUCUCCCUCUAUCUCUCAUUCUCGCUCUUUUUUUUUUACUUACAGGUGGACAUCUGCUCUGAGCCUUUAUCUAUCCAUAUUAAUAUCCUGAGCUCAUAAAUAAGGGAUCUCUUUCACCCAUUCAAUACCCUACACACACAUACACACACACACACACACACACACACACACACACACACACACACACACACACACACACAGAGAUACACGUCUUUGCAGGUGAACCUCAAGGAAUAUUGAGAGCGCUGUCUCCGAAGACGACUCUCGCCCGCUGCUGUUCCCAGAACAAAUUUAUCGAACGUCCCACUUCACCCAGCUAACGGAUUCAUCCUGCUGAAACCGAGGCUCUGUCCGGUUCGUAUCCAGACUUCAUCAUCACAGCAUAACGGAGGACCAACGUGGGUCCCACUUGCUCUGGAGUUAUUAAUGUAGCGCAGAGAAGGAAACAGGACGGAGAGAGAUCGAGAGAGAAGACAGGUUAUCAUCUGUCUCUCCUGAUACAUAACCUCUUUAUGAGCUGCACAUUAACCAGGACAUAAAUCUCUCGUUUAAAUUAGACGACAAAGCCCAGCAGGAUUCUCGUUAGGCUAAAAAAGAUCUCCCCUACGUUGUUAACCCGGGACGAUUUAGGAGAGAUUAGGUAACAGAAAAUUAGGGGCGAAAAUGAAAAUGAACGUAGACACAGGCAGAUGGAUUAGUCUGAUCCGGAUGUCUCAGACGAUGUGUCAGACAUCAUUCAUUGACAGAUGCUAAAAUUUCAGGGCAUUCAUUCGAUUCCCACAAUGCACCGUGAUAAUGUACAAUUUACCCAUAAUGAACUGCUUUGUGUAGUUCGAUUCUCUAAGCAUUUUUCUGAUUCCAUGUCGUUCAUUUACUUCAUUGUAUUUACAUUUGAUUCAUUGUUCGAUUCAUUUGAUUCAGUGAACAGUGUGAGUGAUAAGCACACACACAACUCGUACACAAAUAAAGUUUACUAUAAUAA